UUCAUAUCUCAGUUUAUUUUU
rnacentral:piRNA from 1 species